rnacentral:lncRNA from 1 species
UUCCAUUCUUUCUGUAGCAAGGAAAGCAUGACUAAAAGGGAUAAUUAGAAGCCUGAAACUCAUCGUCUUGUUAAGGUCACACACUAUGGAUCCAUUUAAAAGUGGGAGUCCCAACCCAGAGGCCCAUUUAAACUGUGGUGGAUCAGGGUCACAGAUGACUCUAUUUCCUGCACCCCCAGCAAUACUGGAUCUUGUGUUUUAAGCGGCGUCUCAGGUCCUCCAGAGGUCCACAGGAAUACUUUUCUUCUUUGGGGUGGUCUUUUCCUAUAGAGAGUGGGCUCUGGCCUCGUCGAAGUCCAGAGGAGUUUGUAUUUGUAAUCGCAGGCAAAAGUUACUGGAAUUCUAAGUCUGCGGCCCAUUCUGCCUUCCCCUGCCCGAGGAGGACCAGGCUCCAUCUAACUACUUGAGAAGCAGGACCCCUCCCACUCAUCCUGAUGCUAAAAGGCUGGUGAAGGUGUGGCCCACAGCUGGUUGCCUAGCGACCCAGCGAGCUCUGUCUUCAGCCUCAACAGCUUCCACCAGAGGAAUCCAUGCAAGCUGAAGUCUAAGCGGGAAAGCUCAG